rnacentral:rRNA from 1 species
UACAGAGGGGGCAAGCGUUGUUCGGAAUUACUGGGCGUAAAGGGCGCGUAGGCGGCCUGUUAAGUCGAACGUGAAAUCCCCGGGCUCAACCCGGGAACUGCGUCCGAUACUGGCAGGCUUGAAUCCGGGAGAGGGAUGCGGAAUUCCAGGUGUAGCGGUGAAAUGCGUAGAUAUCUGGAGGAACACCGGUGGCGAAGGCGGCAUUCUGGACCGACAUUGACGCUGAGGAGCGAAAGCCAGGGGAGCAAACGGG